rnacentral:rRNA from 1 species
UGGUAUGAGAUUAACUAAGUUAAUUAAAAUUCUAUGUAAAUAUCUGAUUAUGACAGUAUUUGCUUAUGUCUUGACCAAAACACGUGCCRGCAGUCGCGGUAAGACGUGGAAGAUAAGUGUUAUUCAUGUUUAACAGGUUUAAAGGGUACCUAGACGGUUAAUUAAACACUGGAAUGUAUUAAUUAACUAGAGUUUGAUGUGAGAAGGAUUGAKUACGGUAGUGUAAAGAUAAAAUUUUAUGAUACUGCUUUGGAACUGGUAAAGGCGAAKGCAACCUUCUAUGUAAAAACUGACGUUAAGGGACGAAGGCUCGUGUAAAAAAACAGGAUUAGAUACCCUGGUAUUUUGGGCAGACAAUGAUGAGUGUCAUAUGUAAGAAAUAUUUUUUGUGUAUAAACGAAAGUGUAAGCACUCCMCCUCAAGAGUAACAUGGCAACAUGGGAACUGAAAUCAUUAGACCGUUUCUGAAACCCGUAGUGAAGUAUGUUGUUUAAUUUGAUAAUCCACAAAUAACCUUACCACAACUUGAAUUACUUUAGUUUACUGAAGUAACAAGCGUUGCACGGCUGUCUCCAGUCAAUGUUGUGAAACCGUGGUUUGAUCCAUUGAAUUGACGUAAACCCUUACUUUAUUUAUUAUAAAGUAGUUC